UGCAAUUCUUUCCUUUUAAUGGCCUUUACCUGCCAAACAUAGCAAAGACCACAAAGAGAAAGUAACAGUACCAUCAACCAUAGGCAGUGUUACCUGGGGCCUGGAGCAUGAAGUAGCUGUGGAGGUAGAUCCAAUACAGAAGACAUGGCAGUGUAGAAGGCUGCCAAGCAUGGUUACCAAGACAAAACUCUGAACUUUCUACUGACAAUAGCAGAUCUAAGUUUGAUGUUUGCCUACAAAAGUGAAAAAUCCUACUGUUCCAUGGAAUCUGUAUGUAGAGAUUUUAAACGUGUUGAACAUGGAAAGCAGCAGAGCCAAUGAGAAGGUCUGUGCCUUCUGGAGUUUUCGCACUAAAACAAAGUUCACUAAAAUAUUCUAUCAAAUGGGAAACAUCCCUGAUCUCAAAAUUCAUUUCUUUGGAGACUCUAAAAACACCUACAUAGUGGAAAGAACAGGAGGCAUCACUGGCGGUCCACGACAAAAACACAGAGGGAUGCUAAAGGAUUCAGUCUGUAUCAUGGCUGGAUCUAACACAGAACAUUAAAACUGCAAGUGCGUAACAACUUCUCAUGGAUAAAGACACAUGGAGUUAUGUCCUGCACCCAGGUUGAAUGUAUUCACUUUCAUCAGACCUGGAGAGUUGGCACUUGGGCCAAUUUCAAGGAGUGACUUAAACCA